rnacentral:rRNA from 1 species
UACGUAGGUGGCGAGCGUUGUCCGGAUUUAUUGGGCGUAAAGCGAGCGCAGGCGGAAAAAUAAGUCUAAUGUGAAAGCCCUCGGCUUAACCGAGGAACUGCAUCGGAAACUGUUUUUCUUGAGUGCAGAAGAGGAGAGUGGAACUCCAUGUGUAGCGGUGGAAUGCGUAGAUAUAUGGAAGAACACCAGUGGCGAAGGCGGCUCUCUGGCCUGCAACUGACGCUGAGGCUCGAAAGCAUGGGUAGCGAACAGG